rnacentral:rRNA from 1 species
GAAUCAGCGUAUGUGUUAGUGGAAGCGUCUGGAAAGUCGCACGGUACAGGGUGAUAGUCCCGUACACAAAAAUGCAUAUGUUGUGAGUUCGAUGAGUAGGGCGGGACACGUGACAUCCUGUCUGAAUAUGGGGGGACCAUCCUCCAAGGCUAAAUACUCCUGACUGACCGAUAGUGAACCAGUACCGUGAGGGAAAGGCGAAAAGAACCCCGGCGAGGGGAGUGAAAUAGAACCUGAAACCGUGUACGUACAAGCAGUGGGAGCACCUUCGUGGUGUGACUGCGUACCUUUUGUAUAAUGGGUCAGCGACUUAUAUUUUGUAGCAAGGUUAACCGAAUAGGGGAGCCGUAGGGAAACCGAGUCUUAACUGGGCGAAUAGUUGCAAGGUAUAGACCCGAAACCCGGUGAUCUAGCCAUGGGCAGGUUGAAGGUUGGGUAACACUAACUGGAGGACCGAACCGACUAAUGUUGAAAAAUUAGCGGAUGACUUGUGGCUGGGGGUGAAAGGCCAAUCAAACCGGGAGAUAGCUGGUUCUCCCCGAAAGCUAUUUAGGUAGCGCCUCGUGAACUCAUCUUCGGGGGUAGAGCACUGUUUCGGCUAGGGGGUCAUCCCGACUUACCAAACCGAUGCAAACUCCGAAUACCGAAGAAUGUUAUCACGGGAGACACACGGCGGGUGCUAACGUCCGUCGUGAAGAGGGAAACAACCCAGACCGCCAGCUAAGGUCCCAAAGUCAUGGUUAAGUGGGAAACGAUGUGGGAAGGCAUAGACAGCCAGGAUGUUGGCUUAGAAGCAGCCAUCAUUUAAAGAAAGCGUAAUAGCUCACUGGUCGAGUCGGCCUGCGCGGAAGAUGUAACGGGGCUAAACCAUG